GUCACGGGGGGCAAGGCGGGACCCGGCCGAGCACAGUAGACCCAGCCAGCUCAGACUCAGAACGGCUGCGACGCUUACUGAGCCCUGGGGCGGCGAGACCGUCUGGGAGGAGCGGCAUCCCUGCGAGCGGAGAGGCCGGUGGCCGGGCGCCUCCGCCUCCUAAAGGGAACUGAGGCCGGCGGGGGCCGCUGGGAGCCGGGAGGCCUGCCCUGGAGGUUCUCUGACCAGAGAGCGGGCGUCUGUGUGUGACCUUUUGCUGCAUGCUCAAGUUGUGCAGACCAGAGAGCUCUGUCUCCCUUCCUUUCAGUCAAUGCCAGGAAAGAGAAGCGGAAAAACAGUUCCACAAAAUCCAACUCCAUUGUAGAUGUCUUUCAUAUCCUUAACCUGGUGUUUUGUCCCUGGAAUGUGGUUAUGAAGAGGACGGAUGUCGUCCUUCCUUUUUUGCAGUCUGAACACUGCAAAAGAAGAUCCAAAGUCUACUGUGAGCUUUGCAAAGGGAAAGAAUAAGCUGUUCUUGAGUGAUUUCUCCCAGAAUUUCUAAUGGAGUCGCUGCUAAAUCAGAAUCCAACUCAUCCCAUCUUAGUCCAGCUUCUCCUUUGUCCGCCGGGCUCACCUCCAAUUGCGUUUGUCUCAGGGAGGCCUCUACACAAUGAAUUAAGGAUUGUUUUCAAGCUUUUUGAAAG